CCAUAAAAAAUAAAACAAAAACUUCCGGUUCCGGAAGAAAAAACAGCCAAGUGUUUUGCACUUUUGCAGCAUACUCUCUAAUCUUUGUUUUGCAGUGCACAAAAUCAGUGGUAGAACGUAGAACAUACAAGUUGUUUUGUUUUGCACGGUGUUUUAUUUAAUAAACGCUUCUGUUGUGCGAAUUGGACGCGUGACGUGCUGAAGAUUAAAGACUUUGCAUAAUGGAAUCAAAAAAAUUUUUUUUGGUUACAUUUUUAGAUGAAGAUGAUGCUCCUGGCAUAGUUUCAUCAAAGUGGUUAAGAUACCAACACUUGUUAUUACCCUAAUGUAUGCACUGAAGAAAUCAAAAACAAACUUGAAGAAGAUGCCUGCACCUGAAGCAACAUGGUCACAGUAUCAAAUAAAAAUACUUAAAAGUUAUGAAACUUAUGGCGAAGCACGAUUACAUUUAAAAAAAAGCAGAAGAAACCUGAAAUUUGGACUCAGACGAAGCAGAAAAUGAUGUUACAAAUGAAGUGACAGUGGACAUAAUGUCUGCUGUAAAUUACCCAGUCACCUCCGGUUCUAAAGAGACCAAGCAAACACAACUCAAAGCUGUUAACUGCCAAUCAGAGUGCAUUACAAACAAGCAAUAUGCUAUACAGCAGAGUCAUAUGAUUCAGAUUGUGUCAGACCUAGCUAACCAAAUGGCUGAAAUCAAUAGAAAAUUGGAUUUACCGUUAGCUAGGUCCGAAGAAACAUUUUCACCAACAGAUGACAAUGCAGGUCUUUCAGAACUUUUGGCAAGUCUACCAGUAAAAGAUAUUGCAAGUUUUAAUAAUUUCGAUGACCA